rnacentral:rRNA from 1 species
GAUGAACGCUGGCGGCGUGCCUAAUACAUGCAAGUCGAGCGAACGGACGAGAAGCUUGCUUCUCUGAUGUUAGCGGCGGACGGGUGAGUAACACGUGGAUAACCUACCUAUAAGACUGGGAUAACUUCGGGAAACCGUAGCUAAUACCGGAUAAUAUUUUGAACCGCAUGGUUCAAAAGUGAAAGACGGUCUUGCUGUCACUUAUAGAUGGAUCCGCGCUGCAUUAGCUAGUUGGUAAGGUGACGGCUUACCAAGGCAACGAUGCAUAGCCGACCUGAGAGGGUGAUCGGCCAAACUGGAACUGAGAAAAGGUCCAGACUCCUACGGGAGGCAGCAGUAGGGAAUCUUCCGAAAUGGGCGAAAGCCUGACGGAGCAACGCCGCGUGAGUGAUGAAGGUCUUAGGAUCGUAAAACUCUGUUAUUAGGGAAGAACAUAUGUGUAAGUAACUGUGCACAUCUUGACGGUACCUAAUCAGAAAGCCACGGCUAACUACGUG